rnacentral:rRNA from 1 species
AUUGAACGCUGGCGGCAGGCUUAACACAUGCAAGUCGAGCGGGGAAGGGUAGCUUGCUACCUAACCUAGCGGCGGACGGGUGAGUAAUGCUUAGGAAUCUGCCAUUUAGUGGGGGACAACAUCCCGAAAGGAAUGCUAAUACCGCAUACGUCCUACGGGAGAAAGCAGGGGAUCUUCGGACCUUGCGCUAAAUGAUGAGCCUAAGUCGGAUUAGCUGGUUGGUGGGGUAAAGGCCUACCAAGGCGACGAUCUGUAGCGGGUCUGGGAGGAUGAUCCGCCACACUGGGCCUGAGACACGGCCCAGACUCCUACGGGAGGCAGCAGUGGGGAAUAUUGGACAAUGGGCGGAAGCCUGAUCCAGCCAUGCCGCGUGUGUGAAGAAGGCCUUAUGGUUGUAAAGCACUUUAAGCGAGGAGGAGGCUACUUAGAUUAAUACUCUAGGAUAGUGGACGUUACUCGCAGAAUAAGCACCGGCUAACUCUGUGCCAGCCGCCGCCGUAA